rnacentral:rRNA from 1 species
CAAAAGUUUGGUCCUAACUUUACUAUUAACUAUAGCUAAAUUUAUACAUGCAAGUAUCUGCACCCCCGUGAGAAUGCCCUUAUUUCCUCUCCAUGGAACUAAAGGAGCUGGUAUCAGGCUCAUACUAAUAAUAGCCCACGACACCUUGUUAAGCCACGCCCCCAAGGGAAGUCAGCAGUAAUUAACAUUAAGCAAUAAGUGAAAACUUGACUUAGUUAAAGCUACCACAGAGCCGGUAAAUCCCGUGCCAGCCACCGCGGUCAUACGAGAGGCUCAAGUUAAUAAUGCCCGGCGUAAAGUGUGGUUAAGUUGAUUCAUUCAAUAAAGUUGAACGUUCUCUAGGCUGUUAUACGCUCUUUGAGAAUAUGAAGUCCCUCUACGAAAGUAACUUUAAUUAUGCUGACACCACGAAAGCUGUGAAACAAACUGGGAUUAGAUACCCCACUAUG